CGUACUGUUAACUUGCGACGCUGUGAUUGGUCAGUGAAAGACUCCCUCAAAUCAGCGAUUUGCACGUUUAUGUAAUUCAGGCAGUAGGAGGCUGCUCAUCAAAUAUGAAGGCUGGCAUGGCCUCUUCAAGACUGUGGCUACUUGUCAUACUGACGGGUGGAUACUCCACAAAGAAAGCCUUGGAUACCCUUGGGGCUUCUGGUACAAACCCUUUUAGUUCCAGUAGGGAGGAAACUGGCCCUGGAUAUGUUGCUGAAGAGUCUGCUUUCUCAAGUGUGACAAAGUGAGCUGUACAGCUUUAUACAGAUGAGCAACCUAGAUACACUCAUCCUAGUGUUCAGAUGAGACCAAUUCCUGCUCUCUGUGGAUCUGAUGUAUAUACAGGACAUCAAGCUUCAUCUCUGAAAGUCCUGGCAACAUGAGCCCUCCAGGGUCAUUUCCCAUGUUCCAGCCAGGAGAAGCUUCCUACAAGGAGAGGACUUAUGAACAAGGAGACUAUAACUCUGAAUCUGAAGAUGGAGGCCCUCCUCCCCAGUACCUUCCUGUCCUGCCUCUAAAUGAAUUUGCCAUUGGUAGCCCACAGGCACGAGGCAAACUUGUAGCUCGAUUUCGACAAGGGUGUCCUCUACUUGAGUGUGUUGCUGAGUAGGAGGUAUCCUCCAGGCAUGUACACGUUUACCAUCGAUGAAACCAGAGGCAGGACGAUGGCCACGUUGGUGAGCAUACAGCUCAAUGGCUGCAUGCUGACCACUAAAAAUCUAUUUUCCUAUAGAUUACACACAUUGGGAACAUAUUUUUCUUGUGCUAUAAUGGACUUUUUUUAACUAUGUAUUCACAAAUUGUGGAACAGAUGAGUUAAAUUGGAGGGUGCUAGGAAGGCUUGUGGAUCAAACCUGUCCCUUACAUGCAAGUAUUUGGAGUUACAUUUUUAGUUCUUGUGCCCUCUUCCAGCUGAGGAAUCGGUAAAGGGUUUGACUAGAAAUAAAAACCUGAUCAUAUAGGCAGUUUAAAUUUGCCAAAGAUGUCUAGGGUGGUGGUAAACCCUAGACUCCCAUAAUGUAUUUAUUGCCUUCAGUGAUUUUUAUUUUCCUUUUCCAUGACAAUUCUUGCUUUUCUAGGAUUUCUUCAGUAUGAACUGAUUUUUCUCACCAGGUUCCUAAAUGUUUACCACCUGACUGACUACAUUCUGCCCACAAAUGUUUAUAAGAGUAAAUUUUGUCCAUUACUCAAGCUACGAAAACCAUAGCUUUUGUGUUUUGCUUGAAAAUGCAAUGUCCUUAUCAUGGAGGAAAAUACCUGUGGCGAGAGACAACCUUGCAUUUAAUUACUAGGAUUUAGCAGUUUAGCACCUUUCUUGAAUUUUAUAGAGUUCAACAUCUUAUACUUUCAAAAUCAAAAUACACUCUCUCAAUAAAAUUUAUAUCCAUAUUGUAUUGGCAAGUGUGGGAAUAAAGGAUUUGGAAAGGCUUAAUACAUUACUGAAAGCAGAAUGGCUUAAAAUAAAUGCUAACAAGUUAAUUUCACUUCAGUCACAAUGUCAUUGUGACUGACAUUCAAUAUGUUGUCCAGAUCUAAUUUUCAAAUGGUAAAAAAAAAAGAGUUGAGCCCAAGAUUUACCACCAGACCCUUAACAGAACCAAGUGAACACAGAAAAUGGAUGGAAGAAUGGAAAGAUCCAACAUAAUCACGAUUAAUGCCUAGCAGCUGUGCAUCAUUAACUUGCUGCGUGCUGAUUGGACGGCGCUGCUUCCUCGCGACCGUUUAUGAGCCUUCCGCAGUGCAUCCUUAAUCGCAAUAGUACAGAAGCUCGUCCAACAUGAUGACUGGCUCGUUGGCCUCAGGGGAAGGAGGGGGUUACUGCGCUGGUUCGUUAAUGUGGAGCGGCUGUAGUUGCAAUCACGAAGAAAGUAGUGCCUGCUUUGCUGGAAUCAGAUGGUCUGAUGCUGUAUCGUCUUAAAUCUUCCGGGUAACUCGAAAGCCAAAUCUAGCAGUCGUGUCCCAAGAGGAGCGUCAUCUCCCAACGACCUGGAGUUGGUUUCUGAACCCGAACCGCCUGGAUUUGAGUAUGUGAGCCCGCCAAACCCUUUUCUUCUUCCAGAACUCCAGCCAGGUCGGCCGUCCUUAGAGAAGGUGUAAGAGCAGGGGACGUACAACUCUGAAUCUUCAGAAAAAGGCCCGCUGCUCAGACAUGCUGCAGCUCGGAACCAAUUGUGUGGCGGUAGACCUCCGCCUGUAACCCAACCUGUACACAGCAUCUGGUUUGGCUGUCCGCCGUAUUGCCUGUUCUUGCCUCCUAAACCAAAAGGUUUGAUUAUUUACCCAUUUCUGAGAGGAUGAUCCAACACCUCAGUGAAUCAAUUUGUGUCCAUGGUGACACAGUUCAGACUAAGGCUUCAUCCAAGGUUUUAAAACUCUGUUUAGGUAGACUUAAAUAUUUUGAGCACUUAUUUUUUUUUUUGUUUUCUUAUUGAUAAACUAAAGCCUUUUUCUCCUAACUUUAGCUGAUGCUUUCUGGCAGCUUUUACUUUAUAGGAGUGUUCUGAGAACUUGAUACUCUAAAUCAAGUUGAACUUAUUUACUUUGUGUUAAAUUCAGGUAUUGUUUGAUUAUAGACAUUUUACUUUUCCCCACCCCUCCGAACUGAUCAGCCUGUCACAGCAAGCAGCAACCUUUUACUGCGUUGCAAUUGCAUUACAAUGACUUUUCAAAAGGCUCAUGCUUCAUUGUGACCAUUUUAGUUUCAACGUGAAGGCAUUCAAAUGCCUUUUUAAAUGUAAUUUUUGUAGAUAUUAAAGUGUUAAUUUGCUGCCUGUAGACAAAUUAAUGGGUUUGUAUUGAUGCACAAAAUGGUAGCAUGAUGAGCAGACUAGAUGUUGAUUUGAGAGAUUUACAGUAAGACUUGACUUGAAUUAGGAAAAAUUAUUUGUGGAAAAUCUCUGCAAUAAUGUAUGUAAACUAGUCUUCCAAAAAAAAAAUUUUCUUAAAGGUUUCUAAUCUUAGCUGUCAUCAACUUCCUCCACAUGGAUUUGCAGUUUAAUGCAAAGAAAUGGAGGACAAAGCCACACAUUGGAGGGGGCAGAGCUUGAAUAUUGUGAUUUCUAUAGCACAGAUGGUGGGAGUGGGCAUGCUCAAAGUGGGCCUCCACAUAAUUAGUAUUAAUGUUCUCCAUUUAUCUGGUGUAUAUGUAUGUUCUGUGGUACAGCUUAAAACGCUGCACCUGUGAGUUGUACUCUGAUUUCUCCAUAUUGUCAAGUUCCCAGUGUGAGAAGUGGCUUUUUUUUUUUUUUUUUUUUUAAAAUUGUUUUGACAAAAGCAUCACUGAGAUUUAAUUCAAACAAAUCAAACCUACUAUUGAGGUACUUCAUAAUGUUUGACUCUACAUAUCUGAAUUCAGAAGCAAACCUCUGUCCUUUUUCCUCAUCAAAAAUCAAAUCCCUUUGUGACUCUUUGGUAAUGCUAUUGGUGUUUCUGAACUGAGGUCACAAUAUUCUAAACAAAAUUAAUAAAAUUUUCUUGGACUCUGUAAUCUUGCAUAACAGGAAUCUGAUUGUCCAAUCAGAUUUGGACAAUUUUAUGUAAUUCGAUAAAACUCCAAAACUGUAACUGACUGUUCUUGCUCUGCUAAAGCUGCAACCAUUAAAACUUCCCUCAC